rnacentral:rRNA from 1 species
CGUCUCAGUUCGGAUUGUAGUCUGCAACUCGACUACAUGAAGCUGGAAUCGCUAGUAAUCGCGAAUCAGAAUGUCGCGGUGAAUACGUUCCCGGGUCCUGUACACACCGCCCGUCACACCAUGGGAGUCAGCAACGCCCGAAGCCGGUGACCCAACCGAAAGGAGGGAGCCGUCGAAGGUGGGGCCGGUAACUGGGGUGAAGUCGUAACAAGGUACC